AGAAAGGUAGUUUAUAUUAAGAACAUCGGUUUCAUAAUCCGAAAGUGGUACUGUACCCCCUUCUA
rnacentral:tRNA from 1 species